CUCGCGAGAUGUUGUGAAUUUACUCCUCGAGAGUUUUCCCUCCAGUGAAAGCAGCAAAUGAACGUUUUUCCACACCGUCUGAGACGUCUGUCGUGAAUAGUGUAACAUUGGCAAGAACUGUCACGAUCGUACCAGCAUGAUGGCGAAUCAAAUUGAAAUACGUUCACGAUGAACGGAUGGAAAUGUCAACGCCUGCGUGAAGCUUAAUCUGACGAUGUAUGAACUCCAAAGCCAUCAGCAAACCGUGCAGCACUAGCUGUCGCAUUAAUGGCAGGAUACGCUGGUGUCGCAGCCCACAUCACUAUCUAUUCCGGGAAAGGAGGCAAGAGAGAUGUUGAGCCAACAAGGACAGAAAUCAGGAUUUGCCAAGUACAGCAAGCAUUCCUUCAUUAUUCUGGUGCCACAAACAAACACUUGACCCUCAAAAGACAAGACAGUUCAGCCGAAUAUCAUCAAAACCAGCCCGGUUUCUCCUUCAUCAGAUGGAAGGCUAAUGGACACAUUAGCUGCCUGCUCGUCCCUCUGCGGUGAUUAGGUGGCUGUGAGGUCAUCCCUUCACUUCUGCCUCCAUCAACAUCAAAGAUCUAUCAUUUCAUUACUGCCAUAGGGAGGAGAGAGGGAAGGAGCAGUGGCUGAAUCACCAGUUGAUCCAUACAGUCAUCCAUUUAUCCACAACAAAUGCUUGGGAGACUCGUGUCGAAUGCAGUCUUAAAAAUGGCAGUGUGAUUUGCUCAUGAAAGCACUCUGUGCUGGCAGGGAUUCUUUUACCCAAUGUAAAAGAAUUAUUUGUAUUGUUACACGAACAAUGAACCGUAAGGGAAAAUAAUGGAAUUUUUUUUUUUCUUCCUCUGCUCACCUCAGAAAAUCUGUUGACAGGAUAUCGUAAUGACAUUGGCCUCCAAUAGCAACAGUGAUGCUUCCACACUAAGCACCCAAAAGAUGGUGGCUGACUAACACAUUACUGUUUAGUUGAUUGAAGAGGACUGCACGUCAUGGGAACGUCUCUACUGAACGAGUCUGAUCCAGCUGUUGUCUUAGAGUGUUUUCUAAAAGUGGGGUGGAUUCACAAAAAGUGUAGAAGUAAAUGAAAGCCCGACAGCGUCGUGUGCACCCAGUUGUGAGUGUCCUGGAGAUUGUAUUGAUUGCUGCAGGAAGUUCAAUCUGAUGUUUCACAGCACUUCCUGAGUGCAUGGCGUUGCCGCUGAGAGUGAAAGCAGUGAGAUGUGAGGGUUGGGGAGGCGGUGUGACACAGGGGGAAGAAACCAGUUCAUGAAAACAUGAAAGGCUGAAAGACAAGGAGACAGCGAGACAUAACACCUCAAGAUUUGCCCUUGGGCCAAGACAAAACACCACCUCGCCUCUCAGUUUCCUCCCAGAAUACCAACCUCGCUGCACGGAAAAUGAAGCAAAUUUACCGCUCUCUACCUUGGGCCUAGAUGGGGUCUAAACUCUGGUUAAAGUGCAUCUUGUGAACGAAUGUUUGCUGAAAUGUGAUUACUCACCUAUAAAUCCAUCCAUCUCGCCAUUAUCUACCUCUUUUCCGGGUUGGGUCGUGGGGGAAGUAGCUUCAACAGGCAUACCCAGACUUCCCUUUCCCCAGCCACUUCUCCCAGCUCUUCCAGACGGAUCCCGAGGCGUUCCCAAGCCAGCCGAGAGACAUAGUCUCUCCAGCGUGUCCUGGGUCGUCCUCGGGGUCUCUUUCUGGUGGGACAUGCCCGGAACACCUAACCAGGGAAGGGUCCAGGAGGCAUCCGAAUGAGAUGCCCCAGCCGUCUCAUCUGGCUCCUCUCAAUGCGGAAGAGCAGCGGUUCGACACUGAACCCCUCCCGGAUGACCGAGCUUCUCACCGUAUCUCGGAGAGAGAGCCUGGACACCCUGCGGAGGAAACUCAUUUCGGCCGCUAGUAUCCGGAAUUUUGUUCUUUCGGUCACGACCCACAGCUCAUGCCCAUAGGUGAGGGUAGGAGCAUAGAUCAACUGCUAAAUUGAGAGCUUUGCCUUUCGACUUAGCUCCCUCACCUAUAAAGGCAUCCAUCCGUUUCCUUCGCCGUGUAUCCUCACAAGGGUCACAGAGAGUGCUGGACCUUAUCCCAGCUGUCGACGGGCAGGAGGCGGGGUACACCAUGAACUGGUUGCCAGCCAAUCGCAGCCCACAUAGAGACAAAAAGCCACACUCACAAUCACACCUAGGGGCAAUUUAGAGUGUCCAAUUAAUGUUGCGUGUUUUUGGGUUAAGGGAGGGAAUCAGAGUGCCUGGAGAAAACCCACGCAGGCACGGGUACGACAUGCAAACUCCACACAGGUGGGUCUGGGAAUGAAUCUGGGACCUCGGAAGUGUGAGACCAAUGCGUUCCAGCUGAUCCACCGUGCAGCCCUUUAAAUGCAGCCAGUACUUAAUAUGUGAAGCAUUGUCGGCUUCAGCUGUAGUACGUUGUAGUGCCAGAGCUGAGUUUAAAGGCUUAUUUAUACUUGCGCGUGCGGCGACCGCACUGAUGUCACUGCGGCGCUCCUGCUCGUACUUUACCAUUAUACUCGAGGGUAACCCUGGCAUGCAGUUUUGAAAAUCUGCUGCAAUUCUCCUCCAAGUCAGAGGCGUCGCUACGGCCAGUAUUGGCAAGGACGCCAUAGGGUGGCCGUUUUCCAGCACUUUUUGGUCAU